CUUCAGGGCUCCUGGGUGUCACACAGAUCUCGGUGGGACCUCCAAAUGUUAGACCUAGUGGGGGAAACACCCACUCAAUUCCCGAUUUGGCGUGCACUCAAAAAAUCACAAAGGACC
rnacentral:pre_miRNA from 7 species